rnacentral:rRNA from 1 species
CACGUAGGGCGCAAGCGUUGUCCGGAAUUAUUGGGCGUAAAGAGCUCGUAGGCGGUCUGUUGCGUCCGCUGUGAAAACUCGGGGCUUAACCCCGAGCCUGCAGUGGAUACGGGCAGACUAGAGGUAGGUAGGGGAGAAUGGAAUUCCCGGUGUAGCGGUGAAAUGCGCAGAUAUCGGGAGGAACACCGGUGGCGAAGGCGACUUACUGGACACAUAUUGACGCUGAGGUGCGAAAGCGUGGGGAGCAAACAGG